rnacentral:sRNA from 1 species
GCUCCGGGGGGGGCGCGAGCUCCGCGUUGU